rnacentral:rRNA from 1 species
GAUUUCUGGCUUGAUUCAUUUGGCCGGCCACGGUUUCGUGUGUUAGUGCUUUGUGUUCUAGCCAUCCUUCCAAUCGCAAUUGGCUAUUCUUCAUUGAUUGGUCAGUUGUAUUGGAUCUUUUACUUUGAAAAAAUUAGAGUGUUUCAAGCAGGCUUUAUGCUAUGAAUACAUUAGCAUGGAAUAAUAAUUUAGGACUUCGGUUCUAUUUUGUUGGUUUCUAGGACUGAAGUAAUGAUUGAUAGGGAUAGUUGGGGGUGCUAGUAUUCAGCGGCCAGAGGUGAAAUUCUCGGAUUCGCUGAAGACUAACUUAUGCGAAAGCAUU